GGGGAGGAGCUCCGGAGGGGGAAAAAGAAAGUGCGGCGGAAAGUAAGAGGCUAGUCGGGGAAGGCUGCCAGCAUCUGGCUUUCCUAGGUUCGGCUUGGACCAGGGCGCUGAAAGAGGCAGUGGCCCGCCACCCUGCAUCCAUCUGGUCGCAGUCGCCGAGCCUGCUGGGCUGGCCCGAUAAGGAUGGGACUCCUGUGGUAUUUGAUGAGUCUGUCCUUCUAUGGAAUCCUGCAGAGUUAUGCUUCGGAACGCUGUGAUGACUGGGGACUAGAUACCAUGCGACAAAUCCAAGUGUUUGAAGAUGAGCCGGCUCGAAUCAAGUGCCCCCUCUUUGAACACUUCCUGAAGUACAACUACAGCACUGCCCAUUCCUCUGGCCUUACCCUGAUCUGGUACUGGACCAGGCAAGACCGGGACCUGGAGGAGCCCAUUAACUUCCGCCUCCCAGAGAAUCGCAUCAGUAAGGAGAAAGAUGUGCUCUGGUUCCGGCCCACCCUCCUCAAUGACACGGGCAAUUACACCUGCAUGUUGAGGAACACAACUUACUGUAGCAAAGUUGCAUUUCCCCUGGAAGUUGUUCAGAAGGACAGCUGUUUCAAUUCUGCCAUGAGAUUCCCAGUGCACAAGAUGUAUAUUGAACAUGGCAUUCAUAAGAUCACAUGUCCAAAUGUAGACGGAUACUUUCCUUCCAGUGUCAAACCAUCGGUCACUUGGUAUAAGGGUUGUACUGAAAUAGUGGACUUUCAUAAUGUACUACCCGAGGGCAUGAACUUGAGCUUUUUCAUCCCCUUGGUUUCAAAUAACGGAAAUUACACAUGUGUGGUUACAUAUCCUGAAAACGGACGUCUCUUUCACCUCACCAGGACUGUGACUGUAAAGGUGGUGGGCUCACCAAAGGAUGCAUUACCACCCCAGAUCUAUUCUCCAAAUGACCGUGUUGUCUAUGAGAAAGAACCAGGAGAGGAACUGGUUAUCCCCUGCAAAGUCUAUUUCAGUUUCAUUAUGGACUCCCACAAUGAGGUCUGGUGGACCAUUGAUGGAAAGAAGCCUGAUGACGUCACAGUCGACAUCACUAUUAAUGAAAGUGUAAGUUAUUCUUCAACAGAAGAUGAAACAAGGACUCAGAUUUUGAGCAUCAAGAAAGUCACCCCUGAGGAUCUCAGGCGCAACUAUGUCUGUCAUGCUCGAAAUACCAAAGGGGAAGCUGAGCAAGCUGCCAAGGUGAAACAGAAAGUCAUACCACCAAGGUACACAGUAGAACUCGCCUGUGGUUUUGGAGCCACAGUCUUUCUGGUAGUGGUUCUCAUUGUGGUCUACCAUGUUUACUGGCUGGAGAUGGUCCUCUUUUACCGGGCUCAUUUUGGAACAGAUGAAACAAUUCUUGAUGGAAAGGAGUAUGAUAUUUAUGUUUCCUAUGCAAGAAAUGCGGAAGAAGAGGAAUUUGUGCUGCUGACGCUGCGUGGAGUUUUGGAGAAUGAGUUUGGAUACAAGCUGUGCAUCUUCGACAGAGACAGCCUGCCUGGGGGAAAUACCGUGGAAGCAGUUUUUGAUUUCAUUCAGAGGAGCCGAAGGAUGAUUGUUGUCCUGAGCCCUGACUAUGUGACAGAAAAGAGCAUCAGCAUGCUGGAGUUUAAGCUGGGUGUCAUGUGCCAGAACUCCAUUGCCACUAAGCUCAUUGUGGUGGAGUACCGUCCGCUUGAGCAACCCCAUCCAGGCAUCAUGCAGCUGAAGGAGUCUGUGUCUUUUGUAAGCUGGAAGGGAGAAAAGUCCAAACAUUCUGGCUCCAAGUUCUGGAAGGCCUUGCGUUUGGCUCUUCCCCUGAGAAGUCUGAGCGCCAGCUCCGGCUGGAAUGAGAGCUGUUCUUCUCAGUCUGACAUCAGUCUGGAUCAUGUUCAGAGGAGAAGUCGUUUGAAAGAGCCCCCAGAACUCCGAAGCUCAGAGAGGGUGUCUGGAGCAGAGCCAGCCCCGGGCACGAUGUCCAAGCACCGAGGGAAACCCUCAGCAGCCUGUCGCUGCUGUGUCACCUACUGUGAAGGAGAAAGUCACCUCAGGAGCAAGAGCCGGGCGGAGAUGCACACUCAUCCCCAGUGGGAAACACACCUCUGAGACAAAAGACCUGAAGCACCUGUAUCCAGUUAUUGCCUCUAACGGCCUCGGAAGAGCACACUCUUCUCGGGCCCUAGAAGGCUCUGAUUUUCUCCAGCCAAGGAGGACCACAAAUCAUCCUUUUAACAGUGUUUGCAGGCAAUAGCUGAAAAUAAAGGGCCUGUUUAGCCCUUGGAAUUGUCUCAGCAUAAGCAAACAAUUGAAUAGAGUGGUUGGUAGAAUGUAUUCAUAAUCUAUGAACUAUCUAACACUGCUCUUUGGAACUUGGUGGGAGUGUUCCAACCAUUGUCUGUAUUAGAGUAAGAUAAGUUAUGCUGGGCUAAUACUUCAAUAACUUCCCAUUACACAUCUUAUUUUUGCUGAUGCUAAGGGUCCAGCUUAGGGGCUUGCAGUUUUGUGUCCUUGCCAUGUGCAAUGUGUAGCUUGCAGUUGUCCUAUUCCUGAGAUUAAAUUGACACUCCUCAUUUUCUUUGAUAUUUUAUUAACUAGAACUAUCUCCAGAAUUCUGGAGUCAUAGAGAAGGCUACAAAAUAUGUUCUAGCGUCAUUGGGAAGACUACAUUGGAUUUUAGGAACAUGGCAUAGUCUUCUUCUACAAAUGAGAUGAGGAUGAGAUAUUUAUUAAUAACUGAUGAAGCUAGGAAGGACUGUCAAUCUUCUAUCACUCCACAUAAUAAACAAAAGACUUUAAUGUUCACAUCAAACCUCAGUGUGCCAAGAUAUCAAGAUGAAACGCCACACAGAAAAGAAUAAAGCUUGCAUAUAAAUGCUCUAUAAAUGAAGGUGUUGACAGACUGUGUUAUAAUAAUUAUAGCUUCUGUAAACUUGGUUGAAAAAAAGUUGUAAGUUGCCAUAUUUGGUUACUUCCUAUUUAGUGGCUUAGGUAAGUACUCUAAGAAUGUGAUGGUUAAACUGUCUGCAAAUGAGCCGUUUCAUUUUCGAAAUUCAGGGAGCCUCAGAAGAAUUGAAGGCAUUUAGAACACAGCAGAGCAUGUAACAUGGUCAUUAGGAAGCAUCAUUGAUCCAUUUAUCUGAAGACUUAAACAGGGAAUUGCUCAGAUAAAGGAGGAGACCAGUACCCAUGUGGAUGUUAUGAAGUCUGUGACUACUCUCCUUAUGUUUUCUCUCUUUCUGAUUGGGUUCUAUUGCCAUUAAGUAUUUUAACUUUUAUACAGAUUUUUCUAAUGUAUACAGUAUCAUUUGGUAAUAAUUUAAAGUUCUUUGUUUGGCAAAGAUUAAUAUUUCAGAGCCUUAAGACAUGAGAACAGGCUGUAGUGUUGAACAAAGAAGGACUUUGUUUCUUGAUGUCUUGAGGAAAUUGCUCACCAUCCAAAACUCUUCUAAGAAUAGUUCACAUAGUUUCACUCUAAAUAUUCCAAACAUUUCAAAAUUUGAAACUGUAGAGAACAAGUUUCUGAAAAGUUUGCAUAGAUAGAAAGGUGGAAGUUUGCAAACGAUAUCUGCCAGCAGAUCAUGAACUGUACCUCUCUCUCCCUGGAUAAUGUUUUUUUGAAUACUUCAUGAAUAUAUGGUAAAAACAAUUUUAAACUGUGUGUAGUGUAGUGAAGUGUAGUGUAGUGUAGUGCAAUUCCAACACUAGACCAUUCUGUGUGUCACCGUUAAGUUCUAGGCCAGCCUGGGAUAAAUCAUGAAAUCACCCACUCUAAAACAGGAUUAAAAUAACCCCUGAAUUUCAUUUCUUUAACUCAUUGAUUUAUUUUAAAUUGUGGUAGCUGUGUAUCAGGCUUAUCUUGUUUUAGAUCCAGGGACAAGUGGUUCUGAGACAGAAGUGAACUUAAUCUUUGAGGACAAUUGUAGCUACCUGUGGUGUGCCACAGAAACCAACCCUCUCCCAAAUGAUUUAGAUGUUUGAUCUUGUGAAGGAUAACUGCCUGAAGGGCCUUCAUAAUUCCUGAACAGGAGUCAGUGAAAAUUCAGUAAUGAUUUGAUGAAAAGUUCAGUAUGAAUUGCACAUAGGGAAUGAAAGGGAAAAAAUAUUAAUAUCAUGGAUAGUAUUCUUCCUCCUUCAAGUGUAAACCUUGAAAUUCAUUGCCAAAUGCUGGAACUGAAUUAUUUGUUUGAAGGAAAGGAUAAAGAAAUCCUUUAGCAUUUCUAGUUCUUGGCUUUCAUAUUAUUUCAUAUUGAUUAUGAGAUACUGAGAAGAUAACAAUAAAAACAUAAAAUUAUAAAAGUAAAUAGAAUUUCUAACUUAAAUAGCCAAAGAACACAAUAAUAGUCUUAGUGUUUAUUAUUUUCCUAUGAUCAGUCCCCUAAUGUAGUCACUUGGUUAUUGGCAAAUUGCAUUAAAUGAUGUCUAAGAAGAUCCAGAGGACAAUCAAGCCCUAUUUCCCUAAUUCUAAGCACCAAAAUAAGAGGGAAAAGAUUGUAAAAUCUUCUUGGUACUCACUAGAGUAAAUGUUGUGUGGAUUUCCGAAUUUAGGAAACAAAGGUAGACAGUCAUUCCCAUUGUAAGCUUUAUAUUGUAUACAAAAUUACUUUGGAGUCAGGAUGUAUGCUUUGGGAUAACAUUUACUAUAGUGAAUGUGCAUUUCAAUAGCACAUGUUUGCUCUCAAAUUCUCAGUCUCUUCAUGUAAAGUGGAAAUAAUAUCUACCUCAUUGAAUUGUUGUAAGGGUAAAAUUAUACAAUAAAUGUGAACUUCUAAAAUCUGUAA